AAUGAUACUUCUACUCAGUCCUAACCAGUAGCCUGCCUGGAGGGGAGGAAAAUACACGUCUAUAUUUGAGAGAGAAUAUAGAGGUCUUUU
rnacentral:sRNA from 1 species